UAUACAACUUGCUCAAAGUCAUGUGGUAAAAUUGGACUUCAAAUCUAGGCAUUCCAGCUCCGAAAUCCACGAUUCUUAUGAAUAACAUCCUGUCCCAGCUGACUCAGACCCCUGCCUCUGGCUUCCCUCAAAGUCGGGGCCAUCUUACUGAUAAUGACAAGUGACCAGAAGGCUCUGAACAAAGAAGUCAUUCCAAAAUCCACUGGAAAAAAUUGCCUUUUUACAUAAAAGGAAUCACAGUGGACCCCCGGCAAAACUGAAGAUACAGAAACGUUUUUUUCAGCAACACUUCACACUUCUGAGAAAAGCCCACGUGGAAACUCAGAAACAAGGCAGCUGUCUGCAAGCCAGAGAGA